UACGUAGGGUGCGAGCGUUAAUCGGAAUUACUGGGCGUAAAGCGUGCGCAGGCGGUUUUUCAAGACCGAUGUGAAAUCCCCGGGCUUAACCUGGGAAUGGCAUUGGUGACUGGAAGGCUAGAGUGUGUCAGAGGGGGGUAGAAUUCCACGUGUAGCAGUGAAAUGCGUAGAUAUGUGGAGGAAUACCGAUGGCGAAGGCAGCCCCCUGGGAUAACACUGACGCUCAUGCACGAAAGCGUGGGGAGCAAACAGG
rnacentral:rRNA from 1 species